rnacentral:lncRNA from 1 species
GGGACUAAAACAAAAACAUUUUUAUAAUAGUUCCAUAUUUUUUUAAGGAACCAAAAUUCCAGAAUUCCACAAUUACAGAAGCCAAUUGUGAUAAGGACUGGGAGUUACAUGAGUUUGAGGCCCAAUAUUACAUAGUGAGUCACAGACUAGCCUGGACUUAGGAGAGGGAAAUAGACCCUGUUUUAAAAGACACACAUUAGAGAAAUGCCCGCGUCCUCCGGGGGAGCCUCUCUGGAGCCACAGCUAACAAGGCUUCCCAGAACAGGACCAGAGCACUGCAGAGCCACAGCUCACCAGAAUGCAAGGAGGAGCCCGAGCCCCUCUCCCCUGAGCUAGAAUACAUUCCCAGAAACAGGGGCAAGAACCCCAUGAAAGCCGUGGGGCUAGCCUGGGCCAUCUGCUUCCCCUGUGGUAUCCUCUUCUUCGUCCUCACCAAGCAGGAAGUGGACAAGGACCGAUUGAAGCAGAUGAAAGCUCAUCAGAACAUGUGGGUGUCCAACACGGGCGAGUAUGAGAGCCAGAGGUUCAGGGCUUCACCCCAACAAGCCCAGUUCCCUGAGGUUGGGUCUGGGGCCCAGACCUGAGUGAGGAUCACUGCAACCUUGU